CAUGCACUCUCUGAUAAUGAGCCCCACCAAAGAACGGUCUCCUCCUCUGCUUUAGGACGAGCAGUGUACUGUAGCCUACAGGAGUCUGAUCUGCUCAAACUGAACAGAGAAGGUGGAUGGCAAUUUGGGCCUGACAACAGCAGUCACCACAAGCACUGUCUGAACUUUUACCUGAGCCUGCACUUCAACUAAACAUACGAACAAGAGGGAAGACAAGAGAGAUUUUUUUCUCAAAGCACACAAUGAACUUACAACACAGCCUAAACAAGAGAGUGGAGUUGAGAAAGAAGGGGAAAAAGACACUGGCAGAGCGGAGGGGCUGUUAAUAGGCCACAGACUGCAGGUGUGUCCUCAUUUCAGCAGAAAUAGAAGAGGAUACAUGAGGAUCAACACUGUACAGGUGGAAGAAAGAAGUAUUACAAAUAUGAACUAAAAAGUAACAUAAAGUUACUUAAAGUUGUAGUAUGUAACUUUUCUGGAAGGGAGUCCGCCACCAGCAGCUUUGUUUGGAAUGUUCAGCGGUUUGGUAUUAAACGUACAGUAUCUAUCUUGUAUUUAUUCAAUUACAGGGAAAUCUAUUGCUAGAAAUACCUUGAAAAACAUGUAUUCUUAUGCUAAGUGGUAUCUCUCUCCACAGAUUUGACCUGUAAUUUAGCAUGAUGAUAGAUAAGAUUAAUGCCUUUAUAUUAUUUUAUUCACUGACCCAAGUUUGGUGGUUUGAAUCCCGAUCUCGACAUAAAGUUUCACUGACCCACAGGUUGGCGGUGCGAUUCCAGCUCACACAGAUGAAUGCUGUUGUUGUGUCCUUGGGCAAGACACUUAACCCAAUUCACCCCCAGUGUCUGCACACACUGGUGUAUGAAUGUGCUGUGAAUGGGUGAGUGGUUCCUUGAUGUAAAGUGCUUUGAGUACCUUGAAGGUGGAAAAGCAUUAUAUAAAAUGUGAUCAUUUACAUCCGCAGAGACAAAAAGGUAGUGGGCCCUCCACCCAUUAUUACUAUUACUACUAUUAGGCUACUUAUCAGGCCGAUAUAAAACAUAUUUUUAUAUAAUGUAAUUGUAUAUACUGCUUAUAUAUAAACACAUGAAUUGUUAAGAAUGUGGAUGGGUAGACCAACUUUUCAGACAGUUCUGAGCUUUGCGUGCUCUGGUGCUACAAAUUCAGAGUUAUGUGCGUCAGUAGAUUAAAAAUGUACAAUAAGAUAUUCUCUUAUGGUGUAUUGUGUCAUUGGCCUCAUAUCAUUGUUGGAGUCAGACUUCUCAUUUCAACCAUUGACUCACACACGUUUGUGCAGUUGGCCUGUUGCCAGAGAAAGUAAAGCUUGCAUAAUGACAAACAUAAUAUGCAGGCAUAACACAAAUGCCACAAUCUGAGUAAGGUCAGUCUAAGUACGUCAGUGAUGAACUUUUUCUCACAAUGCUUCAGUUUCACACUUAAAUGACCUGCGAUUUCAGAAUUAUUGGCAGAGCUGCUACUCUGCCAAUAAAUGUGACUAACACUAACUAGAGGGAGGCAAUAUAUCAAAUUAUUGUGAAUGUUGUUUUGAAUACUUGGUUUAUUUAGUAUAAAUAAAAAAUCACCAUGCUGUACAAAGAGCUGAUUAAAAAUUUAAUAGAAUUUUGUUAUCUUUCCAACAAGAGUACAGUGGCAUUUCUGCACUUUUAUGGGUCAUUUUAUAGUCCUUCUGAAUUUUAAACCUCAGCGUAAACAUUUACAGUCAUGUUUAGAAAAUUUUUGUUGGAUUGGAUUGCCUGUGUAACCCCUGCCAAAAUAUAUCAAUAAAUUUUUGUCAAUAUCGUCCACCCCUAACUACAACUACACAAAUAUAGGCACACUAAAUAUUAGAUACUACAGUCCCACACCUGACUCAUACUUUGGAACUUCUGAGUGAUUCUAAGAUAAUUAUUAUUAUUUUUUUUUUUUUUAAAUCAUGUAAAUGCUGUCCAAAACUAAAACGAUUAUAUGGUUAAUAUUUUCAAGUUUCCAAGUCACUUGGUCCCCCAUACCACACAUUUCUAUGAGAAAUAUAUUUACAUUCUGUUUUAGAUUCAAAUCAGCAACAAGAGAACAACCAGAUGGACCUCUUCAUUAAGUCCAAUGCAAAUUAAAUGAGAGAAGAAAGUGACAGAUAACAGCUGUAGUGAUGUGAUUUUUAUAUAAUGGAAUAGGAUUUAACCCUAGAGUGAUGCUGGGUUUACUGCAGCCCCACUCACUAAAUCAAGUCUAUAAAUAGCUGCAGGUGGUUUACACACAGACUAUGCAAGUUAAAAUUUACCCUAUAUAACCUCCAUAAACUUAAGGACUUAAGCUCAAAAGAACACUAAUGCCAGAAGGUAUAUCUCUUGUUCUUUUUCAUUAAUUACCAUUUUAUCUUUUUGAAAUUGUUUAUGAGUUACAUCACACUUAUAUGGGCAUUUUGGAUCUUUCAGGCAAAUCAUAUUAAGAUAAACGAAACACUGUACAAUGAAAAGAAUAAACAUACGCAUAACCUAAA